rnacentral:rRNA from 1 species
AAACUCAGGUGGUUUUGGAUGGGCAUGCGUCUGAUUAGUUAGUUGGUAGUGUAAUGGACUACCAAGGCGAUGAUCAGUAGGGGAACUGAGAGGUUGAUCCCCCACACUGGCACUGAGAUACGGGCCAGACUCCUACGGGAGGCAGCAGUAGGGAAUAUUGGUCAAUGGAUGCAAGUCUGAACCAGCCAUGCCGCGUGCAGGAAGAAGGCCUUCUGGGUUGUAAACUGCUUUUGCCAGGGGAUAAAAUUCUCUUGCGAGGGAAAUUGAAGGUACCUGGUGAAUAAGCCACGGCUAACUACGUGCCAGCAGCCGCGGUAAUACGUAGGUGGCAAGCGUUGUCCGGGUUUAUUGGGUUUAAAGGGUGCGUAGGCGGCCCUGUAAGUCAGUGCUGAAAUAUCCCGGCUUAACCGGGGGGGUGGCAUUGAUACUGCAGGGCUUGAGUGAACUCGAAGUAGGCGGAAUUGACGGUGUAGCGGUGAAAUGCUUAGAUAUCGUCAAGAACACCGAUAGUGAAGACAGCUUACUAGGUUUCAACUGACGCUGAGGCACGAAAGUGUGGGGAUCAAACAGGAUUAGAUACCCUGGUAGUCCACACUGUAAACGUUGAUUACUCGCUGUUGGCGAUACACAGCCAGCGGCCAAGCGCAAGCGAUAAGUAAUCCACCUGGGGAGUACGCCGGCAACGGUGAAACUCAAAGGAAUUGACGG